rnacentral:rRNA from 1 species
UCGGAAUUACUGGGCGUAAAGCGUGCGCAGGCGGUUUUGUCAGUCUGACGUGAAAGCCCCGGGCUUAACCUGGGAAUUGCGUUGGAGACUGCAAGGCUUGAAUCUGGCAGAGGGGGGUAGAAUUCCACGUGUAGCAGUGAAAUGCGUAGAGAUGUGGAGGAACACCGAUGGCGAAGGCAGCCCCCUGGGUCAAGAUUGACGCUCAUGCACGAAAGCGUGGGGAGCAAACAGGAUUAGAUAUCCUGGUAGUCCACGCCCUAAACGAUGCCUACUAGUUGUCGGGUCUUAAUUGACUUGGUAACGCAGCUAACGCGUGAAGUAGACCGCCUGGGGAGUACGGUCGCAAGAUUAAAACUCAAAGGAAUUGACGGGGACCCGCACAAGCGGUGGAUGAUGUGGAUUAAUUCGAUGCAACGCGAAAAACCUUACCUACCCUUGACAUGUACGGAACCUCCGAGAGAUUGGAGGGUGCUCGAAAGAGAGCCGUAACACAGGUGCUGCAUGGCUGUCGUCAGCUCGUGUCGUGAGAUGUUGGGUUAAGUCCCGCAACGAGCGCAACCCUUGUCAUUAGUUGCUACGCAAGAGCACUCUAAUGAGACUGCCGGUGACAAACCGGAGGAAGGUGGGGAUGACGUCAAGUCCUCAUGGCCCUUAUGGGUAGGGCUUCACACGUCAUACAAUGGUGCAUACAGAGGGCCGCCAACCCGCGAGGGGGAGCUAAUCCCAGAAAGUGCAUCGUAGUCCGGAUCGCAGUCCGCAACUCGACUGCGUGAAGUUGGAAUCGCU